AGUGAACGCUGGCGGUAGGCCUAACACAUGCAAGUCGAACGGCAGCACAGUAAGAGCUUGCUCUUACGGGUGGCGAGUGGCGGACGGGUGAGGAAUACAUCGGAAUCUACUUUUUCGUGGGGGAUAACGUAGGGAAACUUACGCUAAUACCGCAUACGACCUACGGGUGAAAGCAGGGGAUCUUCGGACCUUGCGCGAUUGAAUGAGCCGAUGUCGGAUUAGCUAGUUGGCGGGGUAAAGGCUCACCAAGGCGACGAUCCGUAGCUGGUCUGAGAGGAUGAUCAGCCACACUGGAACUGAGACACGGUCCAGACUCCUACGGGAGGCAGCAGUAGGGAAUAUUGGACAAUGGGCGCAAGCCUGAUCCAGCCAUACCGCGUGGGUGAAGAAGGCCUUCGGGUUGUAAAGCCCUUUUGUUGGGAAAGAAAAGCAGCAGGUUAAUACCCCGCUGUUCUGACGGUACCCAAAGAAUAAGCACCGGCUAACUUCGUG
rnacentral:rRNA from 1 species